rnacentral:rRNA from 1 species
CACACCGCCCGUCACACCAUGGGAGUGGGUUGCAAAAGAAGUAGGUAGCUUAACCUUCGGGAGGGCGCUUACCACUUUGUGAUUCAUGACUGGGGUGAAGUCGUAACAAGGUAACCGUAGGGGAACCUGCGGUUGGAUCACCUCCUUACCUUAAAGAA